UACGUAGGGUGCAGGCGUUAAUCGGAAUUACUGGGCGUAAAGCGUGCGCAGGCGGUCUGCUAAGAGAGAUGUGAAAUCCCCGGGCUUAACCUGGGAACUGCGUUUCUAACUGGCAGGCUUGAGUGUGGCAGAAGGGGGUGGAAUUCCACGUGUAGCAGUGAAAUGCGUAGAGAUGUGGAGGAACACCGAUGGCGAAGGCAGCCCCCUGGGCUAACACUGACGCUCAUGCACGAAAGCGUGGGGAGCAAACAGG
rnacentral:rRNA from 1 species